rnacentral:rRNA from 1 species
CCUACGGGAGGCAGCAGUGAGGAAUUUUCCGCAAUGGGCGAAAGCCUGACGGAGCAAUGCCGCGUGAGGGAAGAAGGCCCGUGGGUCGUAAUCCUCUUUUCUCAGAGAAGAAUAAAUGACG